rnacentral:rRNA from 1 species
UACGUAGGCAGCAAGCGUUGUUCGGAAUUACUGGGCGUAGAGAGUGUGUAGGCGGUGCUCUAAGUUUGGUGUGAAAUCUCCCGGCUCAACUGGGAGGGUGCAUCGAAAACUGGAGUGCUCGAGGGUGGGAGAGGUAAGCGGAAUUCCUGGUGUAGCGGUGAAAUGCGCAGAUAUCAGGAGGAACACCAAUUGCGAAGGCAGCUCGCUGGGACGUAACUGACGCUGAGACGCGAAAGCGUGGGGAGCAAACAGG